rnacentral:sRNA from 1 species
UGACUGCUCACGUGGUUGUAGGGUCGGG